rnacentral:rRNA from 1 species
GGGGAAUAUUGCACAAUGGGCGAAAGCCUGAUGCAGCAACGCCGCGUGAGUGAUGAAUGCCUUCGGAUUGUAAAGCUCUGUCUUUGGGGACGAUAAUGACGGUACCCAAGGAGGAAGCCACGGCUAACUACGUGCCAGCAGCCGCGGUAAUACGUAGGUGGCGAGCGUUGUCCGGAUUUACUGGGCGUAAAGGAUGCGUAGGCGGAUGUUUAAGUGAGAUGUGAAAUCCCCGAGCUUAACUUGGGAGCUGCAUUUCAAACUGGGUAUCUAGAGUGCAGGAGAGGAGAAUGGAAUUCCUAUUGUAGCGGUGAAAUGCGUAGAGAUUAGGAAGAACACCAGUGGCGAAGGCGAUUCUCUGGACUGUAACUGACGCUGAGGCGCGAAAGCGUGGGGAGCAAAC